AUAAAUAUUAGAAUCGGGAGAACAAAUAGUAAAAAACAGUCUUCCAUUUCUUUAUAGUGAAGGAGUUGAACUGAUUAUACUGCACAUUUUGCUUCUUCAGAUUGGUGCUCCAAAUCUUUUUGCAUCUUGUAUUAGAGACAGAAGAUUAAGGAGACAGGGAAAGCUGAGGGACAACUAAAAGACAAAGCUUGCAGGGGACGCUGCACAAGUCUCUGACAUACAGCCAAGUUGGACAAAGGAGAAGGACAAGAAAAAAAGCCUGGGAGGAAGACUAUGAGCCUUCAGCACAAGAGACCCCCAGAGGGACCACCAGAGACUGAUACGCAUGCUCCGGUAGGAGGGUUUGGAUUCUGGAAACUAACUAUAAUAACCCUGUUUAUUCUAGAAGUAGUAAUGAAUAUGUAAUAAUGAAUAUGCGUAGGAGCAUAAAAAUCAGCUGCUUGAUGUAGCUGGUGUGCGUCUUGGUGGAGCAGAGACUCCCGGAGCACCCAGCGCUGUUUGCUUACCUCUAUUUCUUUAAUAAAUUGUAAACUUUGAUUAUAGUCCUAUUUUGAAGACUGAGCCAUAGAUAACAUAAGAAUUACUUAAUAUAAAAGUAAAUGAAAUAAAACAAUGCUAAAACUAUGGAAAACAAAACGCAGCAAGUUAACACUUAAUGAAGGGCAAAAGUUGCCAUUUAUGUAAGUUAUCUAUUGUAUUGUUUUAUAUUAUUUUUUGUAAAAUUUGGAGACUUGGCUUAAGUGGAAGAUGUUGCAUUAUGGUUUUGAAAAGUCAAAAUGGGGAGGGGUGCUGAGUGCUGAGACCUUUUAGAGCAUUGCCUCUGUAAGGCAGGAAGAUUGUCUCUCUCUGGGUUUACUCUGGGAGGAGAAGUCUAUUAGAAGCAGGUGUAUCUGGUGUUUUGAAUUUCUUACACUAACUGAAGCUAACUCCUUAUCUGGGCAAGCCUGGAGAAAGUGUCAGUCUAGAGCUGCAAGCCAGACAGCAUUAAAAAGAUCUCUUCUAGUAAUAUAUGCUUCAUCUAUGAAGACAAUGACCUUGACCAACAGUGACAGACCAGAUAUUCUCCAUCUGAGUCAAGUAGAAGAGUAAAGCUGAUCCUGUGAGUAUCCUGUGAGCAAAGUACAGUCUUAGUCUAGUGUACAGUGACACGAGAUUUGUUUCAUUUCCUGUCUAAUUCUGUGCUACCAAGUUCUCUAGAAAUGUGUCAAAUCACGUGAUUUAUGUCCCUAAAUUAUAUUUCUUUUGCUCUGAAUUGUAUACUACUGAGACUGAAUUGUCA
rnacentral:lncRNA from 1 species